rnacentral:rRNA from 4 species
ACGGGUGAGUAAUGCCUAGGAAUCUGCCUGGUAGUGGGGGAUAACGUUCGGAAACGGACGCUAAUACCGCAUACGUCCUACGGGAGAAAGCAGGGGACCUUCGGGCCUUGCGCUAUCAGAUGAGCCUAGGUCGGAUUAGCUAGUUGGUGAGGUAAUGGCUCACCAAGGCGACGAUCCGUAACUGGUCUGAGAGGAUGAUCAGUCACACUGGAACUGAGACACGGUCCAGACUCCUACGGGAGGCAGCAGUGGGGAAUAUUGGACAAUGGGCGAAAGCCUGAUCCAGCCAUGCCGCGUGUGUGAAGAAGGUCUUCGGAUUGUAAAGCACUUUAAGUUGGGAGGAAGGGCAGUUACCUAAUACGUGAUUGUUUUGACGUUACCGACAGAAUAAGCACCGGCUAACUCUGUGCCAGCAGCCGCGGUAAUACAGAGGGUGCAAGCGUUAAUCGGAAUUACUGGGCGUAAAGCGCGCGUAGGUGGUUUGUUAAGUUGGAUGUGAAAUCCCCGGGCUCAACCUGGGAACUGCAUUCAAAACUGACUGACUAGAGUGUGGUAGAGGGUGGUGGAAUUUCCUGUGUAGCGGUG